UCCUAUUCUCUCUCUCUUCCAAAUCAAUGCAUUUUCUCUCUCUUCCUUGGUUUUCUUCCUCAUCCAUGUGUCCCUCUUUCCUCUGCUCAAACACAGGCCGCUCGCUCUCUCUCUGUCUCUCUUUCCCUUGCUCGUUGAGAAAAACCCAAAGGCCCCUCGUCUUCCCUAUUCAAAGGCCGCUCAUCUUCCAUCUUCCCUGUGCCUUUCGCUCGCUUAAAAAAACCCAAAGGCCGCUCACUCGAUCCCUGGUGUGGCCUCCCCACCCUCUCUCUUUUCCCCUGAUGUUAAAGAAUACCCCAAAGGCCACUCUCUCUCUCUCUAUCUCUCUCUCUACCCAUCGCUCGCUCGAUCCCUGACUAGCCUCCUAACAGCAGCUCACCCCAUCUCUAUAGGUACUCUCUUUCUCUCUAUAUAUAUUUGACUCAGUUAAAAUGAGUUUAUAUCACAAAUCUAUAGUAUCCAUUGGGGUUUAUAUCAUAAACUAAUUUGCAUAUGAUUUUUUGGAAUUAUGUUAUUAUUUCUUUCAAAAAAUUACCAUUAAUCGAUGGAAAUGGUUGAUAAUAGAUUGUUGUACACACACGUCCCAUAAUUUUGCAGGUUAAUGGUAAAACUACCUUUGGCAUUCAAAAAAGGGUUUGUUAUAUUUCCUCAUCAGUUUUGAACGAUAUUCCAAGUCAAUUCAUACUAGGAAAACGGUUAUCUCAAUUUGUCGAUAAGAUGAUCAGAAAUAAAAGCGGCGUGGUUGUUUUUUAAUGAAAUAUCCAACUCCAUGUUUAUCCAUCUCCAUGUUAUAAAAACUUGUGAUGUAUCUAUCUGUUGCAAUUUUUGUAUGUGGCAAGGUGGGUUGAGAAAAAUACGAUUGGUAUUAUUAAAACUGAAAUAAAUUGUAUUUCUAAUUUCAGUUAGAAUGAGUUUAUAGGUACUCUUCACUCUGUAUUUGGCUCAGUUAAAAUGAGUUUAUAUCACAAAUCUGUAGUAUCCAUUAGGGUUUUUCCUGUAUUUUUUUCCCAUUGGGGUUUUUCGCCCCUGUUGCAUUGAGUUUACAUCACAAAUAUGUAGUAUCCAUCUGUUGCAAUUUUUGCAUUUGUUUCUAUAGGUUGAGAAAAAAUAUGAUUGGUAUUAUUAAAAUUGAAAUAAAUUGAGUUUCUGAUUUCAGUUCAACAGAUUCUCUCUCAGCAUCGAUGUGUUUUUGUGCAUUGGCUACAGAGAGAAAAUACAAUGGCUGAUGCAUUCCAUGGAUGUGAUAGAGUGAGAAUAGCAUUUGAUCGCAUCUGAUCAUUUUAACAGAAGCAUCCUUUAAAAAACAAAUCAAAUGAGUUCGUUGAGAACAAGUUUUCUUUCAAAAAUUUCUAAGCUUUGUUAUGUUUAUUUUUAUACAUUUUGAUAUAACAUAUAUUAUGUCUAAGCCCAAUAUCUUCAUGUGGCAUCUGAUGCACCAUAUAAUGAAUUACUUACUCUUGGAAAUUAGAAUACAUCUGUCGCAAAUUUUUAUUUAUUUUUUCAAUUGUGUCUUUCUCCCCCAUUUUCUUUCCCUUUUUGUUUUUUUGUUUUUUUGUUGCAUUUUUUUUUUUUUGCCCAUUGGGUUGUUUUGUCCCUACUGCAUUGAGUUUAUAUUACAAGUAUGUAGUAUCCUUUGUUACAAUUUUUGCAUGUGGCAAAGUGGGUUGAGAAAAAUAUGAUUGGUAUUCUUAAGAUGAAGGUUUGAAUACAUGUGUUUUUGUAGUUUACAGUUUCACGUUAGGUAAGUCAAAAAACUGAGAUGGAUUCCACGAAUUCAAUGGGUGUGACAUUCAGCACAUACCCAAAUGUAGGCAGCAUUGAUGAAAUCCCGGAGGUGGUUGUGGCACCUCAAACAUAGGCCAAUAAAUAGAAGAACCAUAUAUAGGAAUGAUGUUUGGAUCAUAGGAUGAUGCAUAUGAGUUCUUUAAUUCUUAUGCAUUGACUAAAAGUUUUGGUAUUCGUAUGGGGAGUACUCAUAACAAGAAAGGUAAACGGAUCGAUAGGGUUUAUAUUUGCUCAAAGGAAAGCUUUAAACAAGAAAAACCUAAUAAAAGUGGAAAGGUUUACCCUGAGUUAAGGUGUGGGUGCAAGGUUAGGAUGUACAUAAGUAGUCAAGAAGACGGCGAGUGGAAGUAACUAGCGUCAUUAAAGAUCAUAAUCACGAUCUAGUUAGUCUAAGAAAAACUCGUCUAAUUCACACACAUCGAUUAUUGUCGAGUGCUACAAAGUUAUUGAUACAUUCAAUGAGCUCAGCAAUGAUUAAGCCUAGACAUAUUAAUGACAUAUUUAUAGAGCAGGCUGGACGGAUCGACAAUGUCCCUUAUAUACAAAAGGACAUUCAAAAUGAAAUAGUAAGCGCUAGAAGAAAACUUAAAGGGGAAGAUGGCAAUUUAAUUUUGUAAUGGCUUUAUAAAAACAACCAAUCGAACCCAUCAUUUUUCUAUAGAUUGAGAUUAGAUGGUGAUAAUCACAUUCGCAGUAUCUUAUGGGUAGAUUAUACAUCUAGAGUUUCCUACAAGUGCUUUUCUGAUGUGGUUACCUUUAAUACCAUAUAUAUGACAAAUACGUUUGGUGUGCCCUUUGCACCUAUACUUGGUGUAAAUCAUAAUUUCAGUACAACGUUUUUUGGAUUUGCACUCAUAUUUGACGAGAAAAUAGAAUCAUUUAUAUAAGUAUUUGAAAACUGGUUGGAAGCCAUAGGUGGACGGCAGCCAUACAUUAUUCUCACUAAUCAAGAUCCUGCAAUUUUAUAUGCAAUGAUGCAAGUUCUCUACCAAAGUAAACAUCAUUAUUGUAAGUGACACAUAUUUACGAAGAUCAAAGAAAAAAUGUGUCUUGUCUUGCAUAUGCAUCUUUCUUAUUCAAAUACAUUUAGGAGGUGUGUGGCUAGCGCAACAAUUAAAGAAUUUGAAUUGGGAUGAAAAUCAAUGAUUGAUAAUUAUAAGUUGGAAGACAAUGAAUGGCUUAGUAGACUUUAUGGUUGUCGCAUGCAAUGUGUUGAUGCAUACUUGGCUGGCACAUUCAUUGUGGGUAUUACCUCUACUCAAAUGAGUGAAGGGAUGAAUGCACACUUCAAAAUGUACUUGACACCCACAACAAGCUUGCGUACAUUAUUAGAAGUUAUUCCAAAAGUCCAAGAUAAGAAGGUGCGAAAAUAAAGGGAAAAUGACUGAAAAGAUAUUCAAACUACUCCAAUCUUGCGAACAGCCACUUUCAUUGAGUCACAUGCAUAAAAAAUUUGUACUCAAAAUAUUUUAAAGAUAUUUGGGGAAGAGGUGGCUAAUUACUUUAAUUUUACGAGGGAGACAAUUGAAAACAAUGGAUAGGUUGCUACCUUUAAGGUGGCAGUCCCGAGGACCGGAUCUAGACCCUACUUAAUGAAAUUCAAUUGUCAUGACAAUUCCGAUUCUUGCAGUUGUCACUUCUUUGAGAGGAUGGGUCUUCUUUACAAGCAUGUACUGAAGUUUUUUAUGGUGAAAGAUGUAUUUGAAAUCCUUUCACAAUAUAUAAUGAGGCGUUGGACCAAGGAUGUAAAGAAGUGAGUUUUUCUUGAUGACAUUAGGGAACAAAUUCAAGUAACAUCUGAACUACCAUGCUCUAUUAGAUAUAAUGAGGCUAUGCAGGCAAGUCGAUCCCUUGCCGAGCGUGCUUCACGAAGUAUAGAGGCCAUGGGUUUGUAAUGUCCAUGAUACAAAAUGGAAUUCGUCAGUUUGAUGAAAAGUUUGUGUGCAAGAGAGGUCUAUAGGAUAAUGCCAUGAGUUAUCUCAAUGAAUAUGACAAUUCCGCUAGAUGUAGUAACGUACCAAGUGGAAGUAACCAUUGCCACAAUAUCCUUGAACCUGCACGUGCACGGACAAACGGACGACCGGUCACUAAAAGAAUGAAAGCUUGUUCUGAGGGAUGGAAGCCGAAGACUAAAAAAACAAAAUGCGCAGUCUGCAAUGGCAGUGGACAUGACAAAAAGAAUUGCUCGUCGUUCGUUGUGAUAGGACAAAACACAUCGUAAGCUUCGGACCCAUAAGACGGCAGCAGAUGUGCAUUGAUGACAGAGAGAACAAAUUCAUAUGGAACAACUUCAAAGGAGGGGUUAUGUUGUUGGCUUCUUUUUUUCUUUUUUUUUGAAAUGUUUGUUGUUAAACUAUUGCCAUUAUUGAUGGUGGUUGUAUACCAUUCACUCAAAAAAAAAGAUUGUUGUAUGCCAUUGUACUCUUUUCACUUCCUUUUGGGUUAUAUGGUGAUAUGUAAGGUGAUUGGGUACAAGGAACGAACCAUGAUGUAACAAUGGGUUGGACUAUUGAACUUUAUAUGAACAAUUUUGCUAUUGAAUGGACUACCCCAUUUGGAAGGUAGUUUAUGAA